rnacentral:misc_RNA from 1 species
AAGUCGUAACAAGGUUUCCGUAGGUGAACCUGCGGAAGGAUCAUUACAAAUUAUGGCGAACCUCGCGUUUCGCGAGGUCUUGCGUCCAUUUUUCAUAUUUAAAACAUCCCACUCUAAAAAUAUUUAUCUAAUGAUAAAAAUAAAAAAGAUCACUUUCAACAACGGAUCUCUUGGCUCUC